AUAAAAGAAAAACUCGCUAGGGUUCGUCCGUCCAUCCGUUCUCAGAGCAGAGCAGAGCAGAGACCUCGGCCGCCGCCCUUUUCUUCUUCUCCGCAAACCCAGCGACAGCGAGCCACCCAUAAUCCUCCUCCUCCGGUAAGGAGGAUAUACUCUGGCGCCCGGGUCAGUAGCGCGCCGGAUCUUUAAAUUUCCGCGGGAGGAUUGAUGUUCUGCACGCCCACCUCUAUCUGUCCACGCCGGAUUCGACUCCGUUUACCACUAUCUGUCUAACGCGGAGGUGAAUUUGAAUUUCAGGACCAGUCCGCCUUGCUCUGGCUGGCGCCAGACCUUCCUUCUUCUUCUCCUUCUCUUCAAUCUUCAUGCGAGUAGUGCUGUUUAUCAUUUUAUUUAUACCACCGGAUCAAUAGCCAACUCGGUUUUGCUCCGGUGUACGGAUAACUUAUCUUUUUUUUUCUUGGAACAAUAAUAAGAGUAUAGUAAUCCGGUGCAGCGCUAAGUUAUUAUAAAUAGUGGCAGAGUAAGGACGAGGAUUGGCCUGUAAUAAUCAUUCAAGCCUCCACGCUCGCCUCAAAGAUUUCGUUCAAAGCCUCGUCGGGUUUCAGGGGCCUCACACUCCAUGGAGGCCAUAAAUAACGGUUUCAGCGACAGUUCCCGCAGCCAAGUAAGUUCCCUCCCUUCUUGUUCGCCAUGCCUCUAUUCAUAUUUUCUUCUUAUUAACAUUCCACUGUACGUACAAUGCCAAGAGCUGUAUCUUCAACUCAACUCAUACACUACUAUAUACUCUUGACAGUUAUUGUAGCACUCCAUGUAAAUGUUAAGUUGUUUGUCUAGCCUGUUAUCAGCCAAAUUACCUAUAAUUUACGUGGUUUUGACAGAGUGAAGUAGUGAAUAAACGGAGUAAAAAACUAUGGCCAGAUUUGGGUUCAAAAUUUCACCAUGCCGCGGUGUCUUCGUUUUGCUUUUGCCACCUUGUAAAACUACGAACCUGGCCAUAAUUUUUCUUUUGGAGCAUUUACAUGAUCAUGCCGGAAGGAGAACAGAAAGCAAUGAUGACAAAAGAACACACGCCGAUCUAAAGAGAUGUCUCUGUUUGUUCUGACGAUAUAAAUCUCCAGUUUACAUCUUCCUGUUGUAGCCAGAGGCAGUCAUGGGAAUGCUUUUUAUUUUAUUUU